GACGAACGCUGGCGGCGUGCUUAACACAUGCAAGUCGAACGGAAAGGCCCUGCUUUUGUGGGUUGCUCGAGUGGCGAACGGGUGAGUAACACGUGAGUAACCUGCCCUUGACUUUGGGAUAACUUCAGGAAACUGGGGCUAAUACCGGAUAGGAUCUCCUGCUGCCUGGUGGGGGUUGGAAAGUUUCGGCGGUUGUGGAUGGACUCGCGGCUUAUCAGCUUGUUGGUGGGGUAGGGGUUUACCAAGGGUUUGACGGGUAGCCGGCCUGGGAGGGUGACCGGCCACAUUGGGACUGAGAUACGGCCCAGGCUCCUACGGGAGGCAGCAGUGGGGAAUAUUGCACAAUGGGCGGAAGCCUGAUGCAGCAACGCCGCGUGCGGGAUGACGGCCUUCGGGUUGUAAACCGCUUUCGACUGUGACGAAGCGUGAGUGACGGUAAUGGGUAAAGAAGCACCGGCUAACUACGUG
rnacentral:rRNA from 1 species